UUAGAGUUUGAUCCUGGCUCAGAAUCAACGCUGGCGGCGUGCCUCAGACAUGCAAGUCGAACGGUUAAGACUCCCUUCGGGGAGUGUAUAAAGUGGCGCACGGGUGAGUAACACGUGGGUAAUCUACCUCCGGGUGGGGGAUAACCUGCCGAAAGGUGGGCUAAUACCGCAUAAUGCAGCGGCACCGAAUGGUGACAGUUGUUAAAGGAGCAAUCCGCCUGGAGAGGAGCCUGCGGCCGAUUAGCUAGUUGGUAGGGUAAUGGCCUACCAAGGCGACGAUCGGUAGCCGGCCUGAGAGGGCGGUCGGCCACACUGGCACUGAAACACGGGCCAGACUCCUACGGGAGGCAGCAGUCGGGAAUUUUGGGCAAUGGGCGAAAGCCUGACCCAGCAACGCCGCGUGAGGGAUGAAGUCCUUCGGGAUGUAAACCUCGUAAGCAUGGGAAGAAUAAAUGACGGUACCAUGCGUAAGCCCCGGCUAACUACGUGCCAGCAGCCGCGGUAAUACGUAGGGGGCAAGCGUUGUUCGGAUUUACUGGGCGUAAAGCGCGUGUAGGCGGUGCGUUAAGUCAGCCGUGAAAGCCCUAAGCUUAACUUAGGAAAGCCGGUUGAUACUGACGCACUAGAGUGUAGAAGAGGCAACUGGGAAUUCUCGGUGUAGCGGUGAAAUG
rnacentral:rRNA from 1 species